rnacentral:rRNA from 1 species
UACGUAGGGUGCAAGCGUUGUCCGGAAUUAUUGGGCGUAAAGAGCUCGUAGGCGGUUCGUCGCGUCGGCUGUGAAAACCCGGAGCUCAACUCCGGGCCUGCAGUCGAUACGGGCGGACUAGAGUUCGGCAGGGGAGACUGGAAUUCCUGGUGUAGCGGUGAAAUGCGCAGAUAUCAGGAGGAACACCGGUGGCGAAGGCGGGUCUCUGGGCCGAUACUGACGCUGAGGAGCGAAAGCAUGGGUAGCGAACAGG